CGCAGUGAACAGCAGCCAGCAGAACCCAGAAGCCAGCAGCUGCCCCCUGAAACCCCCUAGGGUCAUUUCAUAGUGAAGUGCCUCUGAUGAGACGCCUCGCCAUGAAUAGUUUCCCUGGCAGAAGCAGAGAGGCAUCAGAACAUGCAUCACAUUCAGGAAAGGGUGAUUACAGCAGUCCUGGGAAGUGCAUUUGGUGAACAGAAAAGCAGGAUCCACUACAAGAUUUAAGAUUUCCAAUUUGGAUGGGGAUGUCGAUUCUAUGACUGAGAUAG